GCAUAUCAAUAAGCGAGGAAAAGAAACUAACAAGGAUUCCCCUAGUAGCGGCGAGCGAAGCGGGAAGAGCUCAAAUUUAUAAUCUGGCACCUUCGGUGUCCGAGUUGUAAUCUCUAGAAAUGUUUUCCGCGUUGGACCGCACACAAGUCUGUUGGAAUACAGCGGCAUAGUGGUGAGACCCCCGUAUAUGGUGCGGACGCCCAGCGCUUUGUGAUACAUUUUCGAAGAGUCGAGUUGUUUGGGAAUGCAGCUCAAAUUGGGUGGUAAAUUCCAUCUAAAGCUAAAUAUUGGCGAGAGACCGAUAGCGAACAAGUACCGUGAGGGAAAGAUGAAAAGCACUUUGGAAAGAGAGUUAACAGUACGUGAAAUUGUUGGAAGGGAAACGCUUGAAGUCAGACUUGCUUGCCGAGCAAUCGGUUUGCAGGCCAGCAUCAGUUUUCCGGGAUGGAUAAUGGUAGAGAGAAGGUAGCAGUUUCGGCUGUGUUAUAGCUCUCUGCUGGAUACAUCUUGGGGGACUGAGGAACGCAGUGUGCCUUUGGCGGGGGUUUCGACCUCUUCACACUUAGGAUGCUGGUGGAAUGGCUUUAAACGACCCGUCUUGAAACACGGACCAAGGAGUCUAACAUGCUUGCGAGUAUUUGGGUGUCAAACCCGGAUGCGUAAUGAAAGUGAAUGGAGGUGGGAACCGCAAGGUGCACCAUCGACCGAUCUGGAUUUUUAAUGAUGGAUUUGAGUAAGAGCACGUAUGUUGGGACCCGAAAGAUGGUGAACUAUGCCUGAAUAGGGCGAAGCCAGAGGAAACUCUGGUGGAGGCUCGUAGCGGUUCUGACGUGCAAAUCGAUCGUCAAAUUUGGGUAUA
rnacentral:rRNA from 1 species